CCGCCGCUCUCCGUUAGCCACGCCCCUCGCUGUCGGCCACGCCCCGGCCACGCCCAGCGCCGCCGCCGCCUCUUGCUCAGUACAGGUCUGACCGUCCCAGUGCUCCCAGUAUGAGCUUCCCAGCAACAGUAUGGAGCUCCCAGUCCCAGUAUGACCCAGUCCCAGCAUGACCUUCCCUGUACUGGGCUUGGCCUCCCAGUUCUCCCAGCACAGGUGGAGGCCGCAGCGCAGGAUGCCAGGACCAGGCCUCCCCCAGGCUCUGCUUCUUCCUCUCUGAUCCAAUUAUGUCAGGCCAUGCCCCCUUUGCCAGCCUGCAGCCAAUGGCUGAGCCCCCCCAGGGGCUGGGCCGGGCGCCGCCGGGGG